rnacentral:rRNA from 1 species
UACGAAGGGUGCAAGCGUUACUCGGAAUUACUGGGCGUAAAGCGUGCGUAGGUGGUUUGUUAAGUCUGUUGUGAAAGCCCCGGGCUCAACCUGGGAAUGGCAAUGGAUACUGGCAAGCUAGAGUGCGGUAGAGGGUAGUGGAAUUCCCGGUGUAGCGGUGAAAUGCGUAGAGAUCGGGAGGAACACCAGUGGCGAAAGCGGCUUCCUGGUCCAGCACCGACGUUCAGGCACGGAAAGCGUGGGGAGCAACAGG